rnacentral:rRNA from 1 species
UACGUAGGUGGCAAGCGUUGUCCGGAAUUAUUGGGCGUAAAGCGCGCGCAGGCGGUCCUUUAAGUCUGAUGUGAAAAGCCCACGGCUCAACCGUGGAGGGUCAUUGGAAACUGGAGGACUUGAGUACAGAAGAGGAAAGCGGAAUUCCACGUGUAGCGGUGAAAUGCGUAGAGAUGUGGAGGAACACCAGUGGCGAAGGCGGCUUUCUGGUCUGUAACUGACGCUGAGGCGCGAAAGCGUGGGGAGCAAACAGG